rnacentral:rRNA from 1 species
GAUGAACGCUGGCGGCGUGCCUAAUACAUGCAAGUCGAGCGAACAGAUGAGGAGCUUGCUCCUCUGACGUUAGCGGCGGACGAGUGAGUAACACGUGGAUAACCUACCUAUAAGACUGGGAUAACUUCGGGAAACCGGAGCUAAUACCGGAUAAUAUAUUGAACCGCAUGGUUCAAUAGUGAAAGACGGUUUUGCUGUCACUUAUAGAUGGAUCCGCGCCGCAUUAGCUAGUUGGUAAGGUAACGGCUUACCAAGGCAACGAUGCGUAGCCGACCUGAGAGGGUGAUCGGCCACACUGGAACUGAGACACGGUCCAGACUCCUACGGGAGGCAGCAGUAGGGAAUCUUCCGCAAUGGGCGAAAGCCUGACGGAGCAACGCCGCGUGAGUGAUGAAGGUCUUCGGAUCGUAAAACUCUGUUAUUAGGGAAGAACAAAUGUGUAAGUAACUAUGCACGUCUUGACGGUACCUAAUCAGAAAGCCACGGCUAACUACGUG